ACUUAGGUUAUGUAACCCUUUGCCUUCCAAAUAGUUCAGAUAUUUCAUCUAGAAGCUAGUAGAAGGUUCUCUUUCCAAUCACUGAAUAAAAAUAAUGUUAUUUUUGUUAAACAUCUGAAUCUAGAAAUUGUAAAUCUGAGCGUAUGCAACUGGUAGAAAGUAUUGUGACGUCUAGGGUCAAGAAAGUAAGAACUUUGAUUAUGCUUGGAGAAAUGUUUUCCUCCCUCUUUCUUGUCACUUGAUAAUCAUGUAUAUAGCAGUGAAAAGUGAUCCAGAAAAAGAGCUAAUAGUCAAUGACAUGCUUUUACUGGAGCAAAAUAGCUCUAGUUCAGCAAAACAGAAAGUAAGAUGGGAUCUGGGCUUAAGCCUGGGGAGACAGUCUCUGCUGUAAGCCACCCACAAACAGUAUUCGCAACAGCUGAGGUCUGGGCCCCUGAGCCUCAAAGCCAGUGUCUGGUGAAGCCAGUACCCAGGAUCCAGCACGACCCCGGUGUGAGUCCUCGCAUUUCUGUGACUCUGGAGCCAUUAAAACCAAGAGCACGUCAACAUCCCUCCAAGGCAUCUUCGUCUCCUCCUAAGAUCCUACACCAUGAAUUUGGAUUCCUACUAAAUGAAAACGAGCGUAUACAGUAGGAUGAUUCGUCUUCAAUCCUGUGCGUCUCUUGCAGGAGGAAACUAUCCCAUAAAAUCCUGGGCUGGAGGCCAUGCUGACGUAUACAUACCUUGCAGCGACAUGAUUUCAGCUUUCAUCCACUCCCCUGCCUGGACCCGUCAGUCUAGAUUCCACAUAAAAGGAAUAAAAACAAAGAUAAACAGAUGGGACCUAAUCAGAAGCGUCUGCACAGCAAAGGAAACCAUCAACAAAACGAAAAGACAACCUAUGGAAUGGGAGAAAAAUAUGUGCAAAUGAUGCAACCAACAAGGGGUUAAUUUCCAAAAUAUACAAUAACGAAAAAACAAACAACCCAAUCAAAUAAUGGGCAGUAAACCUAAAUAGACAUUUCUUCAAAGAAGACAUACAGAUGGCCAACAGUGAUCACCAUUUCAGAUGUAUCCAAGCAGUUCUUCUUUCACAGGCUACCCUUGGUGAAAUUGAUCCAACCAGCAGGAGAAGCUGGUGCCCUCUGAGCUAAACAGCCUUCGAGCCCCCAAAUCAGAGGAACUGAAAGAGGAUCUGGCAGAAGAACAACUGCAGAUGCAGCCCCGUAGCUCACCGUGUUUUCUAUACCGAGAUGCCUUUUGGGUUCAGAGGGAUGCCGUGAUAGCCCUCAUCCCCUGCACAUCUUACUAGAGGUUUAUUUACAAUGUACAAUCCAGACACAGCACGUGCAGCAUACUGAAAGGAUUUCCUAGCUGGCUUUAGAAUAUAUGAAUAUCAGAAGAGUGCCCUGAGGUUAUGAAUAUCAGAAGAGUGCCCUGAGGUAAAGAAGAUACCACUUUUUAAGGAAAAGAUCCAAUUUGGGAAGCAAGGACUGUGCUUUCCGUGGCCGGAUAGGUUCCUGCCUCUCCUGGAGCCUUUAUUAUUAUCCUUUACUAUUCGGGUCUGAAGAGUCUACUAACGAACAGCGGCUCCUAACAAAAAAGGAAAUGAAACCGAUCUACGACGCAGAUUCAUGGAAAGGUACAUGAUGGCUAUUUAAUCACGUGUCAAAGAUCAACAGUGUGCAUAAUAACAGUGAAUUAUUACUCUAGUUUUCAGAGUCCAUACCCUAUUUUUCGUAUCCUACGUCCUCCUGGUUUUUAUUAUAAUUCUUAUCGAAUACUGAAGCGUAGCAGAAUAUGCCACCUGAAAGGGCACUCUGGCAUAAGGAUUAAUUUGAGCUGAUGGCAACUGAGAAGAAGCAGCUACAAGAAAAGCUCUCUGCGUUCCCCCAGUUGCCAAAAAGCAGGACCUAAAUUUGUAAAGGUGUCCUGUCUCCUCUCUACCGGGAAGGACCGAAGUUAGUCACCUGGGACAACUCUAAACUCUAGACCCUGAUGAGCCCAGAGAUGGCAGGCGAGGAAUCUUUACAACAGAGGUGACUAAUCACCCUUAUCUUCCAUUAUUUCCCCACGUAUUUACGUUCCCACAGUUUGCUGCCCUGGAAACUCAAAGUCCUUUGCUUUGUCUUAUCACUUCUCUAAAAAUGUAUUGUUCUUUGUUAAGAUGCCAAGUAAGCCCAAGUUCUAACCACCCGCUUUGAGUUACUCCUCACCGAGUGCUCCCUUGUAUAUGGGAGACACACAUGUUACUAAACUUCUGUUUUUCUCUUGUGGUUCUCUCUUUGCAGGGCCCCAGCCAGAGAACUUAGGAGGGUGCGGGAGAAAGGUUUUGUUCCUUCCCCUACAAGAAUAAAGCUUGCUGUUAUAUUACAUUCUUUUUCCCCCUACCCACUUAGAAUGCUAAAUAUUUGAUUCUUUGAGUUCAUAAAAAUGCCUAGUUGACCCUAUUUCCUAGAUUCUAAAACCUUAUCAAUAGUAUGAUACUUUAUUUUUUUCUGAAAUGUUAUAAAAUUUAUAAACUAAAUAUAGCUUGCAGAAUCAAACCUGAUUUUAGGUCAUAAAACUAAAAGUAAUUUAAUUUAUAUAUCUAUGCAUGUAUGUAAAAUUAUGAAGUAAAGCAAGUUAAUGAUUAAACGGGGGGUCAAUGGAAAGAGUGGACUGUGUGAUUUCUUGAACUGAAUAAGAGGUACCUAGGUUUUUCUUUUAUUACUCUUAUACUUCAAAUACAUUAACCUUAUUUAUAUAUACCUAUAAUAUAUAUUUUGCAAAUGUGUACAAAUAUAUGUAUGUGUACACAUAUGGUGUCUCUAUCUCUAUAAUUGGUAAAGAUCAAUUUGUGAUGGCUGAUUUCUGAUUUAGAUUGAGCAAGGCCUGUUACUCUGCUUUGAGAUUAUCCCCUUUAGUCAUUUUUAGUCAUUGUUUAUGUAACUCAUGGAUUGAAGGGCUUUUGAAAUAGACUUUCUCCAAUGUAAUUUAGCUGGGAAUAAACAUUUUCGACAAUACUAUAUCCCAUUACUGCUCCAAGACCAAUCUACUAGAAAGCUUUCUUUAAUUAUAAUUGUGUAAAAGGAAGAGUUUUCCCUUACGGCAGCACUUGCCUAGGAGAUAUCAAAAUGAAAACUAUUUCACUAAAAUUCUAACCAGCUGGCACUGUUAGAGAAUCACCAACUUUGACCCACAUAUGCUAGCCUGGCACUGGACCUGACUGGAGACUCUUUCCUGACAAAGGAGCAACGCGAUUUGUUUUAACUAAUCAUGAACAGACCUAUGGACGCACUCCUCCUAUCUGCUUUCAAUCCUUAAUCGGAAAGCCCACCAUGGAAUCCUCUUCCAAACCUUUGAAACCCAGGACUUCCCCCUUGUCUAACUUACUACUCAGGGAAAAUUCUUCACUGGUAUGUUUCUGAAGCUGACAAAUAAACAAACCCAACUUUUUAAAUGGUCUUCUUUUGUUUUGUACUGGCUCCAGUGGAUUUUGCAGUCCUUUUGAAACCUAGGUUCAGGAUAUUGACUUAACUUAUAGUUUAUUUAGAUCUGAAAAUAUGCUCGUGAGAACGAAGCUGAAGUUAUAUUUAGUCAAUAUUUUAUCUGAUAAUAACUCUUUUGAUGACAUUAUCUUUUUUCAUAAUUUCUUAGAACUGUCUUACAUCUGAUGUUUUUAUGCCAAUACAA